rnacentral:rRNA from 1 species
AGCGAACGCUGGCGGCAGGCCUAACACAUGCCAGUCGAACGAACCUUUCGGGGUUAGUGGCGGACGGGUGAGUAACACGUGGGAACGUGCCUUUAGGUUCGGAAUAACUCAGGGAAACUUGUGCUAAUACCGAAUGUGCCCUUCGGGGGAAAGAUUAAUCGCCUUUAGAGCGGCCCGCGUCUGAUUAGCUAGUUGGUUGAGGUAAUGGCUCACCAAGGCGACGAUCAGUAGCUGGUCGGAGAGGAUGAUCAGCCACGUUGGGACUGAGACACGGCCCAAACUCCUACGGGAGGCAGCAGUGGGGAAUCUUGCGCAAUGGGCGAAAGCCUGACGCAGCCAUGCCGCGUGAAUGAUGAAGGUCUUAGGAUUGUAAAAUUCUUUCACCGGGGACGAUAAUGACGGUACCCGGAGAAGAAGCCCCGGCUAACUUCGUG